UAGUCCACGCUGGAAACGAUGGAUACUAGGUGUAGGAGGUUAUUUACCCCUUCUGUGCCGAAGCUAACGCGUUAAGUAUCCCGCCUGGGGACUACGGCCGCAAGGCUAAAACUCAAAGGAAUUGACGGGGGCCCGCACAAGCAGCGGAGCGUGUGGUUUAAUUCGAUGAUACGCGAAGAACCUUACCUGGGUUUGACAUGUUGGUAGUAGUGAAGCGAAAGCGGAACGACCCUUCGGGGAGCCAUCACAGGUGCUGCAUGGCUGUCGUCAGCUCGCGUCGUGAGAUGUUGGGUUAAGUCCCGCAACGAGCGCAACCCUUGUCGUUAGUUACAAGUGUCUAACGAGACUGCCGGUUUCAAACCGGAGGAAGGUGGGGAUGACGUCAAGUCAGCAUGGUCUUUAUGUCCAGGGCUACACACACGCUACAAUGGCCAGUACAACAGGUUGCCACACCGCGAGGUGAAGCUAAUCCCUAAAGCUGGUCUCAGUUCGGAUUGCAGUCUGCAACUCGACUGCA
rnacentral:rRNA from 1 species